CUACGGGCGGCUGCAGUGGGGAAUAUUGCACAAUGGGCGCAAGCCUGAUGCAGCCAUGCCGCGUGUAUGAAGAAGGCCUUCGGGUUGUAAAGUACUUUCAGCGGGGAGGAAGGGAGUAAGGUUAAUACCUUUGCUCAUUGACGUUACCCGCAGAAGAAGCACCGGCUAACUCCGUGCCAGCAGCCGCGGUAAUACGGAGGGUGCAAGCGUUAAUCGGAAUUACUGGGCGUAAAGCGCACGCAGGCGGUUUGUUAAGUCAGAUGUGAAAUCCCCGGGCUCAACCUGGGAACUGCAUCUGAUACUGGCAAGCUUGAGUCUCGUAGAGGGGGGUAGAAUUCCAGGUGUAGCGGUGAAAUGCGUAGAGAUCUGGAGGAAUACCGGUGGCGAAGGCGCCCCCCUGGACGAAGACUGACGCUCAGGUGCGAAAGCGUGGGGAGCAAACAGGAUUAGAUACCCGUGUAGUC
rnacentral:rRNA from 1 species